GUUCAUGUCGAAAAUGAUUCAACGAGAGCCAGAUUCGAUGAAGGGGGAAACGAAGAAAUAAGAAACUUCUUUUUCAUAAUUCAUCUCCCUACUUCCUUCAAUCAUUCGCUUUAGCUUUCCUUCUGUGACCGAAUAGAGAAGAGAAUCUGAAUCGGACGUACAUCGCAAUGGCUCCGAUUGCGUCGGAAAACGGCGUGGAAGGCGAUGAUGAGAGGGAGGAGGAGGAGGAAGACGAGGAAGAAGAAGAGGAGGGAGCAGAAUUCGGUGGCGAUGAGGAGGAACCCAGGCUCAAGUAUCAGAGAAUGGGCGGAAGCGUGCCAUCGCUGCUGGCUAGUGAUGCCGCGUCGUGCCUUGCCGUUGCUGAGAGGAUGAUCGCGCUUGGGACUCACGCCGGCACCGUUCAUAUUCUCGACUUUCUCGGAAAUCAGGUCAAGGAAUUCUCUGCUCAUACUGCUGUAGUCAACGACCUCAGCUUUGAUAUAGAAGGUGAAUAUGUAGGAAGCUGUUCGGAUGAUGGUUCAGUGGUAAUAAAUAGUCUAUUCACUGAUGAGAGAAUGAGGUUCGAGUAUCAUCGCCCUAUGAAGGCAAUUGCACUGGACCCAGACUAUGUAAAGAAAACUUCUAGAAGAUUUGCAGCAGGUGGUCUAGCGGGCCAUUUAUAUUUUAAUUCAAAGAAAUGGCUAGGAUAUAAAGACCAGGUCUUGCAUUCUGGUGAAGGUCCAAUACAUACAGUGAAAUGGAGAACAAGCCUUAUUGCUUGGGCAAAUGAUGCUGGUGUAAAAGUUUAUGAUGCUGCAAAUGAUCAGCGAAUUACAUUUAUAGAAAGACCGAGAGGAAGCCCACGUCCUGAACUUUUGCUCCCUCAAUUAGUUUGGCAGGAUGAUACUAUGUUGGUCAUUGGUUGGGGAACAUCUGUGAAGAUUGCAUCAAUUCGAACAAACCAGAAUAGAGCGGCCAAUGGGACACAGAGUAGUAGGCACGUUCCAUUGUCUAGCAUGAACCGGGUUGAUAUAGUGGCAUCUUUUCAAACCAGCUACUUAAUCACAGGAAUGGCUCCAUUUGGGGAUUUCUUGGUUGUUCUAGCUUAUAUUCCUGGAGAAGAAGGUGAAAAGGAUUUUAGUAGAAGUGCUCCAUCUCGGCAGGGAAAUGCACAAAGACCAGAAGUUCGUAUGGUAACAUGGAACAAUGAUGAACUAUCUACUGAUGCAUUACCUGUACAUGGUUUUGAGCAUUACAAGGCAAAGGACUAUUCCCUUGCACAUGCUCCUUUCUCAGGCAGCAGCUAUGCUGGUGGUCAGUGGGCUGCUGGUGAUGAACCUCUAUACUAUAUUGUAUCCCCUAAGGAUGUAGUUAUUGCAAAGCCCAGGGAUGCUGAAGAUCAUAUUGCUUGGCUUCUUGAACACGGCUGGCAUGAAAAAGCUCUGGAAGCAGUUGAAGCAGGUCAAGGAAGAAGUGAACUCCUAGACGAGGUUGGAUCUAGAUAUCUUGAUCACUUGAUUGUGGAAAGAAAAUAUGCUGAAGCUGCUUCUCUGUGUCCCAAAUUGUUGCGAGGCUCUGCUUCUGCUUGGGAGAGAUGGGUUUUCCACUUUGCUCAUCUGCGUCAACUUCCUGUGUUGGUUCCAUAUAUUCCGACAGAAAAUCCUAGAUUGCGUGAUACUGCUUAUGAGGUGGCUCUUGUUGCUCUUGUUUCAAAUCCAUCAUUUCAUAAGGAUCUAUUAGCGACUGUUAAGUCUUGGCCACCUGUGAUUUAUUCUGCUUUGCCUGUUAUCUCAGCCAUAGAACCUCAGUGCAAUACUUCUUCGAUGACUGAUGCUCUUAAAGAGGCAUUAGCUGAGUUGUAUGUUAUAGAUGGGCAGUAUGAGAAAGCUUUUCUGCUGUAUGCUGAUCUUCUGAAGCCAGAUAUAUUUGACUUUAUUGAGAAAUACAAUCUGCAUGAGACCAUUCGUGAAAAGGUUGUCCAACUCAUGAUGCUAGAUUGCAAGCGUGCCGUUCCAUUAUUUAUCCAAAACAAGGAAUUAAUUCCUCCAAAUGAAGUUAUUUCACAGCUUCUUAAAGCCAGAGAUACGUGUGAUUUCAGAUAUUUCAUGCAUCUAUAUCUGCAUUCCUUAUUUGAAGCAAAUCCACAUGCUGGGAAGGAUUUCCAUGAUAUUCAGGUGGAGCUUUAUGCUGACUAUGAUCGAAAGAUGCUACUUCCUUUUCUUCGUAGUAGUCAACAUUAUACACUUGAGAAGGCAUAUGAAAUUUGCAUUAAGAAAAAUCUUUUGAGGGAGCAAGUCUUUAUUCUUGGAAGAAUGGGAAACGCAAAACAAGUACUUGCUGUCAUCAUUGAUAAAUUAGGGGAUAUCGAAGAGGCAGUAGAGUUUGUUAGCAUGCAGCAUGAUGAUGAGCUUUGGGAAGAAUUAAUAAAGCUAUGUCUUCACAAGGCUGAAAUGGUCGGCAUGUUGUUGGAGCACACAGUUGGCAAUCUAGAUCCUCUUUAUAUUGUCAACAGGGUUCCCAAUGGUUUAGAGAUACCUCGCCUUAGGGAUCGGCUCGUUAAAAUCAUUACUGAUUACAGGACCGAAACGAGUCUUAGACAUGGAUGCAACGAUAUUUUGAAGGCUGAUACUGUGAAUCUAUUGGUUAAGUACUACAAGGAGGCCAAACAUGGAAUUUACUUGAGCAACGAAGAAGAUGAAGCACGCGGGAAAAGGAAUGAAAAUAAGGUUUCUCAGACGAUUCAGAAAUCAUCGAGUGUUAGAAUGAUGGAGGUUAAGUCGAAAACUCGGGGAGGCACUCGAUGCUGCAUAUGUUUCGAUCCCUUUUCUAUACAAAACAUAUCGGUCAUUGUGUUCUUUUGCUGUCAUGCGUAUCAUGCGACUUGUCUCACAGAAUCUACCUCCAAUCUUGAUGCUAAGAAAGGGGCUGGAGAGACUAGGCAUGAUUCGACAUCGGACUUCGAUUAUGAUAACGGAGAAGUAGAGGAUGACGAUGAGGAUGACGAUGAGAAUGAUACGGAUGUGGGCGGUCCUAGAAUGCGUUGUAUCUUAUGUACUACUGCUGCUUCCUAGAGUUAGAAAGGACUUUGCAUAAUUUGCGAUCAUGGUUUUCAUUAUUAUUUCUCCUCGUCCUCGGCUCCUUCAAAUGCGUUCAUCCACAUUCAGGAGUUAUUGAAUACAAAAUGUAGAUGGUUGAAAUCUAUUGUCUUGCUCCAACAAUCUGCAAAUAAAAGAGAAGUGUGGAACCUAUGUCAACUCAAAAUGACAAAAGGCAAAAGUGGAAUUGAGUUACCUUGAUGAGGUAUUUGGCUAUUCGUCGUUCGAGAAUAACGUUCCUGAAUUCAAGUAUGAUAAAAUAAUAUUUCUAUUUGUAUUUUGGAACAAAUUAGAAAUGAGAAUAAGAAAUAAGAAACUUGUUUUAGUUGUUUCCAAAA